AAGCGUACACGGUGGAUGCCCUGGCAGUCAGAGGCGAUGAAGGGCGUACUAAUCUGCGAUAAGCGCCGGUAAGGUGAUAUGAACCGUUAUAACCGGCGAUACCCGAAUGGGGAAACCCAGUGUGAUUCGUCACACUAUCAUUAACUGAAUCCAUAGGUUAAUGAGGCGAACCGGGGGAACUGAAACAUCUAAGUACCCCGAGGAAAAGAAAUCAACCGAGAUUCCCCCAGUAGCGGCGAGCGAACGGGGAGGAGCCCAGAGCCUGAAUCAGCAUGUGUGUUAGUGGAAGCGUCUGGAAAGGCGCGCGAUACAGGGUGACAGCCCCGUACACAAAAGCGCAUGUGCUGUGAGCUCGAUGAGUAGGGCGGGACACGUGGUAUCCUGUCUGAAUAUGGGGGGACCAUCCUCCAAGGCUAAAUACUCCUGACUGACCGAUAGUGAACCAGUACCGUGAGGGAAAGGCGAAAAGAACCCCGGCGAGGGGAGUGAAAAAGAACCUGAAACCGUGUACGUACAAGCAGUGGGAGCACAGGUUUACCUG
rnacentral:rRNA from 1 species